GGAAAAGGAAACACUUACCUUAGAGUGGC
rnacentral:sRNA from 1 species